UACGAAGGGUGCUAGCGUUGCUCGGAAUCACUGGGCGUAAAGGGUGCGUAGGCGGGUCUUUAAGUCAGGGGUGAAAUCCUGGAGCUCAACUCCAGAACUGCCUUUGAUACUGAAGAUCUUGAGUUCGGGAGAGGUGAGUGGAACUGCGAGUGUAGAGGUGAAAUUCGUAGAUAUUCGCAAGAACACCAGUGGCGAAGGCGGCUCACUGGCCCGAUACUGACGCUGAGGUGCGAAAGCGUGGGGAGCAAACAGG
rnacentral:rRNA from 1 species